CAGUCGCCGCGGGAAUACGUAGGUGGCAAGCGUUGUCCGGAAUUAUUGGGCGUAAAGGGCUCGCAGGCGGUUUCUUAAGUCUGAUGUGAAAGCCCCCGGCUCAACCGGGGAGGGUCAUUGGAAACUGGGAAACUUGAGUGCAGAAGAGGAGAGUGGAAUUCCACGUGUAGCGGUGAAAUGCGUAGAGAUGUGGAGAAACACCAGUGGCGAAGGCGACUCUCUGGUCUGUAACUGACGCUGAGGAGCGAAAGCGUGGGGAGCGAACAGGAUUAGAUACCCGUGUAGUCCCUGUCUCUUAUAC
rnacentral:rRNA from 1 species